rnacentral:rRNA from 1 species
GAUGAACGCUAGCGAUAGGCUUAACACAUGCAAGUCGAGGGGCAGCAUGAACAAAGCUUGCUUUGUUUGAUGGCGACCGGCGCACGGGUGCGUAACACGUAUGCAACUUACCCAUAAAUCGGGGAUAACCCGGAGAAAUUCGGACUGAUACCCGAUGGUAUUAAGAGAAGGCAUCUUCCUUUAAUUAAAGAUUUAUCGAUUAUGGAUAGGCAUGAGAAUGAUUAGCUAGUUGGUGAGGUAACGGCUCACCAAGGCGACGAUCAUUAGGGGUUCUGAGAGGAAGGUCCCCCACACUGGUACUGAGACACGGACCAGACUCCUACGGGAGGAAGCAGUGAGGAAUAUUGGUCAAUGGACGAGAGUCUGAACCAGCCAAGUCGCGUGAAGGAAGACUGCCCUAAGGGUUGUAAACUUCUUUUGUAUGGGAAUAAAAAAUGGCACGUGUGCUAUAUUGUAUGUACCAUACGAAUAAGGAUCGGCUAACUCCGUGCCAGCAGCCGCCGUAAGAC